ACUCCUACGGGAGGCAGCAGUAGGGAAUCUUCCACAAUGGGCGCAAGCCUGAUGGAGCAACACCGCGUGAGUGAAGAAGGGUUUCGGCUCGUAAAGCUCUGUUGUUAAAGAAGAACACGUAUGAGAGUAACUGUUCAUACGUUGACGGUAUUUAACCAGAAAGUCACGGCUAACUACGUGCCAGCAGCCGCGGUAAUACGUAGGUGGCAAGCGUUAUCCGGAUUUAUUGGGCGUAAAGAGAGUGCAGGCGGUUUUCUAAGUCUGAUGUGAAAGCCUUCGGCUUAACCGGAGAAGUGCAUCGGAAACUGGAUAACUUGAGUGCAGAAGAGGGUAGUGGAACUCCAUGUGUAGCGGUGGAAUGCGUAGAUAUAUGGAAGAACACCAGUGGCGAAGGCGGCUACCUGGUCUGCAACUGACGCUGAGACUCGAAAGCAUGGGGUAGCGAACAGGAUUAGAUACCCUGGUAGGAUAGCC
rnacentral:rRNA from 1 species